AAGGAAAUGAUGAGACAAGUUGUUCAGAUCUCCGAUAUUAAAUUGAUCGGAUGUUGAUACCUAUCUUCUUAUAAGCUAAUCUUCUCUCUGAUCCU
rnacentral:snoRNA from 1 species